CCAGAUCUCUGGUGGAAAUACACAGAAUAAUUAAUCUCUAUUUGUUGCAUGACAGAGCAUAAAGCUAUGUUACCACUGGGAUGGCAGCUGGUCUUUUUUUUUAAUUUGCCACUUAGGCACUUUUAAUCAGUGAUUUUUCUCCCCCUACCACAUACUUUUAUGAGCUGAAUGACUACUGGCUAUUACAGCCUGUGAGUAUGGCUUAAAUUCUCAUUCCUGACAAAAAGAGAGACAGAACCAGACUAGAUGCAUGGGAACUGCCCAUUAAUAUUGCAAAAUAUGUAGGCCUUCUUGAUGAAAUAAUCCAUUCAAUAAGAGUGUCAUUGCUUACUGAAAGCUGCUUAACACCUUAACAACUGUUGCCUUCAUCUGAGAGACCAGUAGCAUCCCUGAAUCUGAUCCUGCAGAUGACAAGCACUUGCAGAUUUUACAAAGGGAAAUUCUCCAGGAUUUUUAUGUGGUGGAACUACAUGGCUCUUUCACAUGGAAAAUGGAAGCACUGUGACAACACUGGUAAUUGAGGAGAGGAUAUCAAAACACUGCUUUGUGUGUAGUACUGGGAAUAAGUGGAAAAACAACAGCUCAAACCCACUGUUGUUUACCACAGAGAAAAUGUUUUACAAUUUUCAUGUCUCUUAAGAAGCACUAUAACAUGAUAUUUUGAGGUAAAUUUGGUUUCAUUUCAUAGCUGAACCACUUGUUUUUUUAAUUCAUAUCAUCCUUAUGGAGCAAAUUCUACCUACUUUCAUUGAAGGAUUUUGGUGCUAACUUUCUCUUAUACAAGUGAUACUGUGUGAAAUGUGCCAACAGCUAAGCUAGCUAAGUGUGAGUGUUAGGAGAGAUACCCAGACCAAAAAGGAGUAGGCUCAACCUGGACUAGUUAAGAUAGUAGUUCAUUUCCCCUUCUUCCUCCUCUUACCCAUUUUUUGGAGUCUGUUGGAGAUAGCUGCUUCCUUCUUCACACCAUCCCUUUACCUUCCUUCCUUAUGGUUUUGGCUAUGGGUGAAGGAUGAUGUGAGAAGAUGUGAGAAGGCUGCACAUGACGUGUGAGGCCCAAGUGCUGCCACCACUGUGCUUAGCUUAAUGAAGCACAAGAAUCUUUUUGUCUGCACACAAAACAGUAGGUCUCUUUCUCCCUGUCCUGGAGGGGCUUACUAUCAUAUCUGUUCUUGCUUGCAGAUUAAUUUUCCAGAACAAAAUUAAGUAGAAUCAUCAGAUAAAACUGUGGUGCUCACUGACCCUGGGCUGCUAAUCCAGAAAGCACCUUUCUUUUCUAUAAUACAACUGCCUUCUGCAUGCAUCUCUCAUGAUUUCUCAAUCUUUUAUAAGAAAUGCAUGGCCUCUUCCCAGCUGGGCCUGGUAUAUCCUGUGGUUUAUAAAAGAUGACAUACUAUCUAACAGAGAGAAAAACUGAUACGUAUGGAAAAUAGCUAGAAAAAUCCUGCAGGGUAGUUUGGGCUUCACUAUUGCUUGAGAAUAACCUUACAAACAAGUUUCAGGGUCUUCAUUUAGGGUUUUUGGGUAUCCUGAUUUGCAUGCACACCUUAUCUGCAGUAAAAUUGGGAUUUUAUAAAUUUCUGUAUUAUUUGGAGAUACACCAGGUGCUCUCUAUUAUGUUCUGCACUAACUGGAACAGUCAGCAGUAAUCCUGUUGCGAAUGAUUUUUUAGCUGCAAUACAUCACUGACACAUGCAGACUUUAAAAAAAAUUCCAGGGUACAUUUGCAAAGAAAUGCAGGCUUGUAUUUUAGAGCAUCUAUUUCUGACAACACAUAACUCUGAAAUAGCAAACAGUAUUCCCUAAAUAAGGCAUGGCUGGGACUCACAACCCUAGCAAGCCUGGCAGAGCUUUCUGUAAUCUAGACAGUUCAAAAUGUUACAAGGAGAGAAGUAAAGGGCACAGAAGUGCUCUGGGCUGCAGGGAAGCACUGCCUUCCACUUGGGACUCGUAGCCAUGGCUCUUCUAGUGGUAGAUGUCUGAUGAGGUCAGUCUUUUCUCGUACAAGCUGUGGACAAGAGGAUGAUGGACGUUAUUCAUCUCCCUCAACCUCACUGAGGCAUCGUUCACCCCAGGGCCAGAUCACUCAUCAAGAGUGCGGAAGACCUGACUUCUCCCUUUGCCUGAUUUCAUCUGAAAGUAGAUGCUUUUGUGCCUCACAGGGAUAAUGGCACUUCUCAAAGGAUUUCAUGUUUCACAGGAGCACUUGAUAGAGGUAUCUACAUCUUGCUAACAAUGCUAUAAGAGCAUGCAUUACCCUGGAAGCUCAACAUGCACCUACAUAAACUUCAAAAUAAACUGGAAGACUAGAAAGAGUGAAUCUAAUUUGAAGCAUAGUGUCUACUUGUUUUUUUGUCUAAAACUUCUGGACUUAGCUGAAUUUUCUGUUUGUUUUUGUUUGUUUGUUUGUUUUGUUUUGUUAACAAUAUACCUGACAGCAAUACAGCAUAAAGCACAGAGUAAAUAUUCUCUCUGUUCAGUGGUCAGGGAUUUUCCAUCUCAUCCAUCUUUUACAACUGUAGCAAAGGCUGUGCAAACAGAGUAUGCAUCAACCCAUAUUCCAACAGUCUGUAGAGAAAGGGGUUUUUUUGUAUAUGUGAGAUACACUAGGCACAAAACUCUACUACAUCACAAACACGUUUUAUACAAAGAAACUCUAUCUGGAUUAGUUUUACUGCUUGAAGUCAUCUUUGGUAACAUAGGACAUGGAAUUUGUAGCUCUAUUAGACAAGACUCUUUUUGACUGAAGAACAUAGGGGAAAGAGAAAAUAGACUCUUUUUGACUGAAGAACAUAGGGGAAAGAGAAAAUAGAAUUUUAAUGAUCCACAGCACCUGCAUGUUUUUGUAUAUAUAACAAGGCUAUCGCUCUUUAGUCCCAAGAAAUUUAAUGGUUCUACUGAAUCUCUAGCUCUGGGAUACAUGAGAAUGCUAGAAGGAAACAUAAUUUGAACUGGAAAAGUAAGUUUCUAGUAUUAUAGAGAAAAACCUGCAAAUAUAAUGAAGAAAACCCCUAACAGGAGAAUAUCUCAAACCAAAAUACUGCUUAUUUUAAGGAAAUUAUCAUGCUUCUAAGCUCAUCCAGGAUUCUGACUCAUUACUUUAGGAUGUUGUUAUCAAUGCUGAUAAGGGCAGAAUUUCAUCUUGUAAUAAAUAAAAUGCUUCAAGAAUAACUUAAUAGACGUGAAAGUACAUUAGAAUAUGAUCAUUUUCACAGUGCUUAUGCUUCUCUGCAAAGUUAAAGCCUGGAUGUUUAGGUCAGGCUGUGUAAUAUUCUGUUGUUGUUGUUGUUGGUUUGGGAGAGUCUUAGUUGUGUUUCCUGCCAUAGCUAAAGCAAGCUUUAUUCACAUCAGCUUUGUUCCAUACUGGUCACUAUUCCAGGUCAUUACAAAAAAAGGUCUGUUUCAUCCUGUUUAAGGGCUUAAUCCUGCUUCAGAAAUGGAUUUUUGUUGUUCUUUGGUAAAACUUGGUUCUGGUUGUCUCUUUUCCUGCUUACCUAAUAUGAAAGUAAUCUUAACUGUUAUCUAUAGUAUACAUACUAUCAGUUCUCCUAUUGGUCCAAUAUAAAGUAAGUUACAUUAGUAGAACAAAGGAAGAACCUAUAGGACAUAAAUUUUCGACAAAUUAGCCUUAAAAGAUUAGGGCUAUAUUUCACAUUGUCAUGAAGUGUAGUUUUAAAAGAAAUUAUAAGGGGUAAUUCGACUUUGUUCUUCUAAUUUCCAUAGCACUCCACUGACUUGCACUUGCAAAAGAUCCCUUCUGUUGCCUUUGGCAUGAAUUUAGUAAUAUUUCCUUUGGAUCAAAUUCAUAAGGAUAUAAACCUCUAUUUGAGGCAAUGUAAUUUCCAAUACAAUAGCUUUUAGAAAGGAGUUGAAAUGCCUUUUAGAAAAGGCUCACCAAAGUUUGAAUAGCUUAAAAAAUUCGCCACUUCCCUAUUUAACUUGAACUAAUGUGGUGGUCUGUCCUUUCCAUUAAAAAAAAAAUCUUUUCAGGAUCAAACUUUAAAACCAAAGCAAAAAUCAUUGUUUGUUUCACUACACACAUAGGGAUAACUGGGUCCGUUCUUAUCUGCUUUCAUGCCCAAACUGAAAUAUCGAUGUUCUUUGUCAAGAAACAACAUGUUUUACGGUUGCUGCAUGGAAGGUGGUUAAUGAGCCUUAGAGAUGCCAGGUUUAAAUCAAAAUAGAUCAGUCAGCCUUACAGUUAGGUGGUUAAAGCUGUUAUAUUCUUGUAACAUAGGACAAUACACCUGACCCACAGCUGUGCCUGUGUCACCAAAAAAAUGCAGGUGCCAUUAGAGAAAAAAAAUGGAGUAUUACUGUAGUAAAAUGUGUUUUUUCUCCAUGUGCAAUCACGAACUAAACUUAAGUCUGUCCUCCUUGCAAAGAUUUAUAAUAAGACAUAAGAAAUGCCAGCAAGACAGCCAGACUUUUCUCAGUGGUGGCCAGUGACAGGAUGAGAGACAAUGGACACAAACCGAAACACAGGAAAUUCUGUCUGAACUUAAGGAAAAUACAUCUUCAAUGCAAGGGUGACUGAGCACUGGAACAGGUUGCCCAGAGAGGCUGUAGAGUCUCCAUCCUUAGAAAUAUUCAAAACCUGUCUGGACAGGGUCCUGGGCAACAUGCUGUAGGUGACCCUGCUCAAGCAGGAGGGUUGGACCAGAUAAUCUCCAGAGGUCCCUUCUAACCCCAGCUACUCUGUGAUUCCAUGUGAUUCAUUGAUUUAUACAAGUUUUUUUGUAAAAAGAUAUUCCCUUUUUUUGGCCAGGCAGAUGUAUGAAUAGUAAGAACAGAAUAGCUCUGCUUGUGCUAACUAGAAAAUCAGCAGCUGUAGAAAAUCAGGCUAUUUUUCUGUCUACCUUUGAAUGAAGAUUUUGCAGUCUUGUGCAAAUAUGGGACCACUGCUGUACUUCCACUGCAAGAAUUAUAGCAUCCAUUAAAGCUGUGCCUCAAGUCUAAUUUAUGAGCUACAAAUUUAUUGUAUCAGAUGUUGUUAACCAAAAAAA